AAUGUUUCACCGCAGAGAUGUUAGUUUUGUAAUUUUGCUGUGAAAGCAGUUUAUUGUGUGAUUUCACAUAUCUACAUUUAGGUUUACUUUCUAGAAUGCCUCCAGCUCUGUACUCAUUUGGAUUUAUACUCGUGGUCCUUACAAGAAAAGUGGAGAGUGUUACCUUUGAACAGUCGUCUGCUCAAGUUGUGAACACAGGGACUGAGGAGCUCAGGAUUAUCUGCAGUCAUGAUGACAGCAACUUACAAGUAAUGCUGUGGUACCAGCACAAGCAGAGUGAUCAGGCGAUGAGCCUCAUUGGGUACACAUUGCCUGUGGGUGAACCAAACUAUGAGAGCCAGUUCACAGACCGGUUUCAGAUAAAAAGAGACGACACAGUGAAAGGCUCUCUGAUCAUCAAAAACCUUAAUCUGUCAGACUCAGCUGUGUAUUUCUGUGCUGCCAGCACACAGUGAUGUGUUUCAUUGCGCUGCUAUACUAAAAACCUCUGAUGGAAAACUAAUGACAAUGGCACA